AGAGUUUGAUCCUGGCUCAGAACGAACGCUGGCGGCGUGCCUAACACAUGCAAGUCGAACGGGGAUGGGGAGCUUGCUUCCUAUUCUAGUGGCGCACGGGUGAGUAACGCGUAGAUAAUCUGCCUGACGAUCCGGGAUAACACUUCGAAAGGGGUGCUAAUACCGGAUAAGCCCACGUGGUCUUUGGACCGUGCGGGAAAAGGGGGGGGACCUUCGGGCCUUCUGUCGUCAGAUGAGUCUGCGUACCAUUAGCUAGUUGGUAGGGUAAAGGCCUACCAAGGCUACGAUGGUUAGCUGGUCUGAGAGGAUGAUCAGCCACACUGGAACUGAGACACGGUCCAGACUCCUACGGGAGGCAGCAGUGGGGAAUUUUGCGCAAUGGGCGAAAGCCUGACGCAGCAACGCCGCGUGAGUGAUGAAGGCUUUCGGGUCGUAAAGCUCUGUCGAUGGGAAAGAAGUGUAUUGAGGCUAAUAUCCUUGAUACUUGACGGUACCCAUAAAGGAAGCACCGGCUAACUCCGUGCCAGCAGCCGCGGUAAUACGGGGGGUGCAAGCGUUGUUCGGAAUUAUUGGGCGUAAAGCGCGUGUAGGCGGUUUGAUUAGUCUGAUGUGAAAGCCCUGGGCUCAACCCAGGAAGUGCAUUGGAAACUGUCAGACUUGAAUACGGGAGAGGGUAGUGGAAUUCCUAGUGUAGGAGUGAAAUCCGUAGAUAUUAGGAGGAACACCGGUGGCGAAGGCGGCUACCUGGACCGAUAUUGACGCUGAGACGCGAAAGCGUGGGUAGCAAACAGGAUUAGAUACCCUGGUAGUCCACGCCGUAAACGAUGAGUACUAGGUGUUGCGGGUAUUGACCCCUGCAGUGCCGCAGCUAACGCAUUAAGUACUCCGCCUGGGAAGUACGGUCGCAAGACUAAAACUCAAAGGAAUUGACGG
rnacentral:rRNA from 1 species